ACCAAAAUGCAUAUUAAAACUUCUAACUAAAAUUAAUUUCCAUAUGUUACUGCAGAUUUCAACAACUCCAUGACAAGUUAGUGCGAUGAACAGACACAUGGUACCAAUGCAGAGAAAAUAAAAUUGAGGCUCUUUUCACUAUAUAUCUGCAGCCAUCCGCAAAGCAACUGAUAAGAAAAGGAGGCAAGGAGAUAAAAAUCUUUAUAUGUUUAUCCCUUUCUCAUGCUAGGUUUCAAAAGUCAAAAUCCAAACCAAAGUCAUCCUUCUCAUUA